GAGGUGGGCAAGUUAGUUGCUCCAAAAACAAGAUAAAGUGAUUGAGUUAUUUUCUCAAGCGGGAGUCGGAGUUUAUCUGCUCUGAGAGCCCCAGCAGCUACUAUUAAUAAGUGUCUGGAAUAUGUUCCUGGCAUUUCACCUACCCUCUCUCCAAUCCUUCCAAGAAACUCACAAAGCAGGGCUUUUUCUUGAACUUCUCUUCCUCACAACAGUUAAAUCAUCCAUUUAAAGAUGUCAGACAACCUCCGUGUUCUAAGAACUAUUUACUAAGCUCUAUGGAGACACAGCUACGAGCACCACAUGCUGGACCCCUGAAUAUGGAGGGCCAACUACACUAGAAACACACACACUAGCUGAGAAAGAUGGUGGCUUAAGGGGAAAAAGAAAGAAAGGGGAGUAGAAAUAGAAGAAAAGAAAUGAGAAGGAGAAAACAAAGGAGAAGGAAAAGGAGAAAAGAAAAAUGUAGGAAAAAGUUGUAAAGAUCACCAGUUUGUAGUAGAGGCCCACUCUCGGAAGGUUUGGUAAAAAUUUGUUUUGAAUCAUAAUGUUGGCUUUAUUGGCAUGUUGAAACCAUUUACCUCUGUAAUUUUCCAUUUGUUUUCCUUUACAACUACCACUCCUCCUGCCUGAUAAAUAAAUACCAUUGCAAGA
rnacentral:antisense_RNA from 1 species